CAUUUUUGAAGGAGACAAACAUUUUUUUCUGUUAUGCAAUCCAUUAGAACAAAUUUCGGGGUUUGCGUUGGAUUUAAUUAAAUUUUAAUGGCGGCUCAACAACUCAAUGGCCCAUCGAUAACUGAAAAGAUCAUAAAUCUCUUGGUCAGCCUGAAUUAUUUCUAGCCACAUAUGGAGUUUGACUACCUUAUUGGCAAAUGGUCAGACAUUUAUUAUGGAAUUGUUUGUCAAUAACCUUUAAUCCCUUUGUUUGUGGCAAUUACACUCUGUGACGUGAUUUUGUUUGACAUCUAAACCAGAAAGGGAGGAUACAACGAUGGAAAAAAAAGGAAAUUUUAUUAACUGUCUUUUCAACUAAAACCACAAUCAUUUGAUGUCAUGGCAUUUAAAAACUAAAGAGAAAAAAAUGUUAAAAUGAAAUGG